CGUCUAUAUACGUAUAGCAUAUCAAUAAGCGGAGGAAAAGAAACUAACUAGGAUUCCCUUAGUAACGGCGAGUGAAGCGGGAAGAGCUCAAAUUUGAAAUCUUCAAGGUUCUACCUUGACGAAUUGUAGUUUAAAGAAGUGUUUUCUGUUGGAGUUUUGGUAAAAGUUCUUUGGAAUAGGACAUCAUAGAGGGUGAGAAUCCCGUAUUUGACCAUUUACUUCCAACUUUGUGAUACACUUUCAAAGAGUCGGAUUGUUUGGGAAUGCAGUCCAAAAUGGGUGGUAAAUUUCAUCUAAAGCUAAAUACUUGGCGAGAGACCGAUAGCGAACAAGUACCGUGAGGGAAAGAUGAAAAGAACUUUGAAAAGAGAGUUAAACAGUACGUGAAAUUGUCAAAAGGGAAGCGUUUGACACCAGUGUUGUUUUCUCGAAAAUCAAUUAAAAAAGAUUGGGAUUUUGUGUUGUAUUGACUUUAUCAGCUUUCUGCACUCUUUUUCUUGUCUUUUUUAAUGCACUUUUCGUUUAACAAGUCAACAUCAAUUUCUUUUGUUGUAAAAGGGUCAUUGGAAGGUGGCUUUCACUUUCGGAUGAAAGUGUUUAUAGCCUUUGACUUCUGCAAUCGGAGAGAUUGAGGUCUGCAGCGUAGAUCCUUCGGGGUUAGAUACAUUUGUGCUAAGUUAUAGCCUUUUCAUAGACAACAUUGUUGACUAUGAUCAUCAUGUAGCUUACUCGCUUAUGCUAUUUUACCUACGCUUAGGAUGUUGACGAUCAGCUGAGCGCG
rnacentral:rRNA from 1 species